UUAUUCAGGAAAAUUGCAUUUCUUGUGAAACAGAGAAAACAUCUUACCCCGGCUGGAUUGCAUCAAAUUGUUGCAAUCCGCGAAAGGUUGAAUGAAGGGAGAGGCAGAAAACGAAAAUACAACAAAGAAAACAUCGAAAUAAUUACCAAAAAAUCCUCAGAGACUACACGCCAAACUUCGACACAAGGUCGGAGAUGAUAUAGUCCGAACUGCAUGGCGACAUGCAG
rnacentral:autocatalytically_spliced_intron from 1 species